ACAUAUACAUAUACAUAUACAUAUACAUAUACAUAUACAUAUACAUAUGUUUUUGUGUGUGUGUGUGUGUGU